rnacentral:rRNA from 1 species
ACUCCUACGGGAGGCAGCAGUAGGGAAUCUUCCACAAUGGACGAAAGUCUGAUGGAGCAACGCCGCGUGAACGAUGAAGGCUUUCGGGUCGUAAAGUUCUGUUGUAAGGGAAGAACAAGUGCCGCAGGCAAUGGCGGCACCUUGACGGUACCUUGCGAGAAAGCCACGGCUAACUACGUGCCAGCAGCCGCGGUAAUACGUAGGUGGCAAGCGUUGUCCGGAAUUAUUGGGCGUAAAGCGCGCGCAGGCGGCCUCUUAAGUCUGAUGUGAAAGCCCCGGCUCAACCGGGGGAGGGCCAUUGGAAACUGGGAGGCUUGAGUAUAGGAGAGAAGAGUGGAAUUCCACGUGUAGCGGUGAAAUGCGUAGAGAUGUGGAGGAACACCAGUGGCGAAGGCGACUCUUUGGCCUAUAACUGACGCUGAGGCGCGAAAGCGUGGGGAGCAAACAGGAUUAGAUACCCUGGUAGGAUAGC